CUGUGCUUUCCUUGUGAAGGGCACCUGAACAAAUAAGGGGGAAGAGCUCAAUGUCAUGGAUGUGAACUCUCCCAUAUAGUGCUAUUGUUGCAGUACCAGUUGCAAAUGGGCUGUCAAGUUCACAGAUAGGAAGACCUGAUAGGGGGCUUCCAGCAGCCUCUUCUCACAAAAAGAUCCUAUUUUCAUCAGAGCCCUCUGGAACAAGAAGAUAUCUCACAGCACCCUUCAUCUCUUUACUCAGUAUGGCGAUCUGCACAGCAACAAACACUUUGGAAAGUAAAAAGUAGUGACCUUAAAGGUCAGAAUAUUUAGGUCACAAGCUGGCAGAGCAAGUGAGGACUGUGUUGCCUUUCGGGAAACCUUGUUUUUAUCCUGUUAAACAGUGAGUAAAGAAAUGGAAGGAUUGGCCAGUGAACAAGAAUUUUUUUGCUGCAGCUGAUCUUAUCUUAUGUUGAAGACUAAAUACACCUCAUAGUGCAGUUAAAAGGGGAACUGUGAAAGUGACUCUGAAACUAGGCAUUGUGAUGUGGAUGGGACAGGUUGAUGUAAACAUGAAUAUUCCCAGCCUAGUGCCUAUUGACCUCCCUGACAUGCUGUCUUUCAUUUUGUGCCUUCUGAACAUUGAGUAAAACAGCCAUCUAGCAGGGACUCUGCAGCUUGAAUUAGAUGGUUUGUUGAUCUGAGCCGGGGUGAAUAUUUGCAUUGUAUUUGAUCUGUCUCACAUCUGCUUUUCUUUUACCAUUUUCUCCUUCUGCUAUUGGAAAAGCUUCAAGAACAACAGGCUUCCUGUGGAUUUUGCAAACAAUAUUUGAAAUGUACCCCCUCCCUCCAAAGAAAAAUUACAACAUGUUCUGAUGCUCAAAAGUCAAGUAAAAA